UUUGAAAAAAAUCGAAGAAAAUGCUAAUUUUAGAAAUUCAGCAGACGACAUUUUAGCAGACGACAAAUUUCCCAGCAUGCAAAGCAUUAAGCCCAGUUUUCUCAGAGUGGGACUCGAUUAUAUUAUCUUAGAUAUAGGUACCUGAAAAAUCUAUUUAUUUAUCCAUGUUCUCUUUAAUGUAUUUAUUUAUCUAUAUUUACAAUGCAGAAUUUUAGCAUCAAUAAAUGCAUAUUUUGAAUGUCUGUAUAGGUCAUUUUGAUCUGGAAUUAAUUGUUACAAUGCUGGAUCAGGGCAAACGACGCUAUAAGUUGAUAACAUGUUAUAUAGCAUAGUUUUGCAUUUAGCUGUUAUUUAAAAUGUCUAUGUGCUGUGCCUUUGCCAUUGUCAAAAAUCAUUCUUCACAGUCAGAUAUUUAUAUCCGGUAAGAGUCAAUUUAAAAAUUAUUCGAAGAUCUUGGAAAUAAUUAAAUGGUUUCGAGUUAAAAUAAUGGAUUAAACCUUUUGAAUACUUGCAGAUAAAAACAAAAUCAAGUUUUUUAUUAGGAUUUGAAUUGUUUAAAUAUAACUCAAAGUGCUCCUGUUAUUUUGUUAGUUUAAUGAACUCCUUGGCAAACCUCUAUAAAGUUUAACCCUUUCAGUGCGGGAACCGAAUUUUGAAGGCCUUUGCAAACAGUUUGGAUCCAGAUGAGACGCCACAGAACGUGGCGUCUCAUCAGGAUCCAAACUGUUUGCUAUUCUGAUAAUAUUCUUUGAAAAAAAUCGAAGAAAAUGCUAAUUUUAGAAAUUCAGCAGACGACAUUUUAGCAGACGACAAAUUUCCCAGCAUGCAAAGGGUUAAAUGAAAAUCAUGAGAUUCUCUUGUUUGAAAUCGCAAUUACAGUCUGUGGGAAGGGGGAAAUUUUUUAGAUUACAUGGAUGUGGUCAUUUGAAACUAUUAAAGGUCUUAAAGUGGACAAACAAAUGAUAGAUUAAAUAACAGGUUUUCCAUAAACAUAAGAUAACACAUUAUUUAGAUAGUUCAAUUUGUCACGUUCCUGUGUUUAUAUUGAUGACUUUCUGUACUCCAUUUAUCAAUUUAUUAUCCAUAUCUAAAUUGUUUAUGCAUGCCAUCACUGGGCAGUUUUUGUUACGCUGUUGAUUAUAGGUAUUCGGUCUGUCAUAGAUGAUUAUUAACCCAUUAAUGCCUAGCGUCUAUAAAAAAGGCCUUGGCAAACAACGUAGACCCAGAUGAGACGCCGCAUGAUGCGGUGUCUCAUCAGGGUGUGCGCUGUUUGCUUAAAGGAAUUUCUGUAAGAAAUAUUCUAAAUAUAGAAAUAGAUAUACAAGACAUCCCUUAUUUUGGAUAUAGAAGGAUGGGAGAGUCCACUAGGCAUAAAUGGGUUAACACUGAAUUCACCAAGGACACAAACUUUCCACACACAAAGUACUCUUACACUUUUUAACGUACACUUUCAAACUUGUGUCCUUGUUUUCCGGUUGCUGUUUGCACAUAGUAAUUUCACUUUACUGCCUCGAUGGUAAAGUGGUUAAAGGGGUUGACUUUCAAUCCAAUUGACACUGUUUAGAGCCUCAACGGGGUGCGCACUAUUUUGCUUUGCUUGUUCCCUCUCAGAAGCAAAGUGGAAAUGACUAUGUGCAAACAGCAUUAAAUUAGAACAGCCUGCGAGUAACUCUCAGUCUGUGCGGGUUUUAUGCUGUUUGCUGCUCAUCAGUUACUAAGCGUUGGAAAUGAAGCCUUUAAAACUUGAAUCAAGUAAGAAAGGUAUUCAAUUAAAUGUAAUUUUCUUAGGGACUAAAAAUGCCUGAAAAUACGCGUCUAAGUGGUAAAGCGUUAAUAUUUUUAUUUCCUCCAGUCUAUACUGGGGGACAUAUUGUUCUUGCCCUGUCUGCUUGUUUGUUGGUUUGUUUGCGUCAAACUUUAACAUUUGCCAUAACUUUUGCAAUAUUUUAAGUUAGCAACUUGAUAUUUGGCAUGCAUGUGUAUCUCAUGGAGCUGCACAUUUUGAGUGGUGAAAGGUCAAAGUCAUCCUUCAAGGUCAAAGAUCAUAUAUAUGGGGGGGACAAACACAUCUUGUCAUUUUGCUGGAGCGCUCAAGUUUUGUUGUUAAAAUUUAGCAAAUUGACUGUCGUCAAGAAUGACAAAAUGAGGGUGAACAAGUCGAUAAGACAUAAUUGAAUAAAGGGACUUCAAAGAUCUGACACUGAGUUAUCAAUCAUACAUCAUGUAGAUAUUAAAGAAUUUAUUCUGUUUGAUAUAAUUGUUUAAGAAUGUUUCAGUAGAUAUGAAAUUGUGAAACCAUAAGUGUGAUAAGUUAUUUGAGUGUUACAAGUUUAACACGUUGUUUCACAGUGUCAAGAUUAACCCUUUGCAUGCUGGGAAAUUUGUCGUCUGCAAAAAUGUUGUCUGCUGAAUUUAUAAAAUUAGCAUUUUCUUUGAUUUUUUUCAAAGAAUACUAUCAGAAUAGCAAAUAGUUUGGAUCCUGAUGAGACGCCACGUUCUGUGGUGUCUCAUCUGGAUCCAAACUGUUUGCAAAAGCUUUCAAAAUUCGGUUCCAGCACUGAAAGGGAUAAAUAAAUACUUUGAUGUAAAAGAACUGCAUUUUGACAUUAUAUAAUUGAAGUUAUGCAUACAGCAAAAAGUUGGUAAUGUUCGUAACAUACAAAUUGUUUCUUUCAAUGUAAAAUGAGUAUCCAAAAGAAAUGUAAUUAUUUUACUAUAAUUUAGUAUUAUAACAUAAUAAUAAUGUAUAUAUAUAUAUAUAAACAUGCAAAUAAUGUUUGCGUAAACAAUGUUUCUUUUAGAAGAGUUCGCUUUUGAAUAGGAUAUCUGUACUGUCCACAUGAUAUAUAAUUAUUUAUAUAUAUGAAUUUGAUAUUUAAGAAUCAAAAUGUGUGUUGUAUGCUGCCAUGUGCCUGUUUUUCAUUUCGCCUCAAACGAAUGUGUAAACUUUAAAAGUGAAGUGUUCAUUCAUUUGAUAGACAAUCUUUCAAUGCAUAUCAUCAUCAUUUAACAUUGUAAUCUUUUAAUGUCCUUAGUAAAUCCAACUUUUGUUGAAAAUUGUUGUGUUUUCGCUAAAUCAUUACUUUCGUUCCGUGUGAUAUCAGAACAGAAAAACAGGUCGACCAGGCAGCUAGUGUUGUCACUAAGAAGUUAUCUAUGAGUUGCUCUGGUAAAAUGGGCGUAAUUAAUGGGGCGUACAGUGUUUUUUAAGAUUAGCCUGUGCAAUUUGCACAGGCUAAUUUGAAAUGACACUUUCUACCUUAACUUGAUUUCCCAUAAGAAGAGUUAUUUCAACACAAAUUCCACAAAAGCAGAAAGUGUCUUUCCUGAUUAGCCUGCGUAUUCUGCACGGGCUAAUCUGGAGCAGCUUUCAGUACAUGCAUGAGGUCAAGUUUGCUUAGAACAAGGCUCUUAUGUUUUUGUUUCAAACAUUUUUUUUUUGCUCCUUACUUUGUUGUUACUAGUGACAGUGUAUUGGUUUGAUAUGAUGAAGUUAUUUGGAUAAAAGCUGUAAAAAUAAGCUGAGGAAAAUGGAGCUUGUUGUAUGAAGUCUCUUAUGGAAUAUCUGCUGGAGAAUAUUUUUAUUAUGCCCCCCUUCGAAGAAGAGGGGGUAUAUUGUUUUGCUCAUGUCGGUCCGUCCGUAUGUCUGUAUGUUCGUAUGUCUGUCCAUCAGAUGGUUUCCGCAUGAUAACUCAAGAACGCUUAGGCUAAGGAUCAUGAAACUUCGUAGGUACAUUGAUCAUGACUCGCAGAUGACCCCUAUUGAUUUUGAGGUCACUAGGUCAAAGGUCAUGGUGACACGAAAUAGUAAAAUGGUUUCCGGAUAAUAACUCGAGAACACUUAUGCCUAGGAUCAUGAAACUUUAUAGGUACAUUGAUCAUGACUCGCAGAUGACCCCUAUUGAUUUUCAGGUCACUAGGUCAAAGGUCAAGGUGACCCAAAAUAGUUAAAUGGUUUCCGGAUGAUAACUCGCAGAUGACCCUAUUGAUUUUCAGGUCACUAAGUCAAAGGUCAUGGUGACCCGAAAUAGUAAAAUGGUUUCCGGAUGAUAACUCAAGAACGCUUAUGCCUAGGAUCAUGAAACUUCAUAGGUACAUUGAUCAUGACUCGCAGAUGACCCCUAUUGAUUUUCAUAUCACAAGGUAAAAGGUCAAGGUCACGGUGACCUGAAAUAGUAAAAUGGUUUCCGGAUGAUAACUCAAGAAUGCUUAUGCCUAGGAUCAUGAAACUUCAUAGGUACAUUGAUCAUUACUCGCAGAUGACCCCUAAUGGUUUUCAGGUCACUAGGUCAAAGCGUCAAGGUCACGGUGACUCAACUUAGAAAAAUGGUUUCCGGAUGAUAACUCAAGAACGAUUACGCCUAGGAUCAUGAAACUUCAUAGGUUCAUUGAUCAUGACUCUCAGAUGACCCCUAUUGACUUUCAGGUCACUAGGUCAAAGGUCAAGGUCACAGUGACUUGACACAGUAAAAUGGUUUCCAGAUGAUAACACAAGAAAGCUUACGCCUACGAUCAUGGAACUUCAUAGGUACAUUGAUCAUGACUCACACAUGACCCCUAUUGAUUUUCAGGUCACUAGGUCAAAGGUCAAGGUCACAGUGCCAAAAAACGUAUUCACACAAUGGCUGCCACUACAACUGACAGCCCAUAUGGGGGGCAUGCAUGUUUUACAAACAGCCCUUGUUCAUAUAUAAAAAAAAUAUUUUGUAUAAAGUGAAGUUUUAUAUGUAAAGUAUUUUUUACAGCAUGCGUUUUAUGCUUUAUUUAUUACUGUAAUGUAGCUGGUAUGAAGACCAGCUGCUUCCAGUACAUUUGAUAUUUUGAAUAAUAGUUUCUUUAAGGACAUGCAAUGUUUUAUAAAAAUGCCAAAAUUUUGUCUGAAAUUUGUCAAUUAACACUAUGUGGUAUUAUACCCUUUUAUUUAAUAGUUAAAUUAAGUGCCAAAAUAAAGAUCUAUGGGCAAAACAAGUUAAUAAAAAGGCUCCAUGUUCUUUAAAAAGAAAAUGGUAAAGAACAAUGAUGAAAAUAUAAUCUUUAUUAAAAGGAUAUUUAAAUUUGGAAGUGAUAGAUGUCUUUGUUAUUUUCUUAUGAUUAACUUAAAUGAUCAAUCAACUAUUUAAAUUGAUCGGGUUUACUUUCGAUUUUUGUAUUUGAUCACAGGCGAAGAUGAGAUGAGAUGAGCUUUCGAUUUUUUGUGCAGUUUUGAGUUUACUUAUUGUGAUUUUGCCGCAGCUUUUUGCCAAAUCAAUCGCUUUAUUCAGAAGCAAUUUGAAGAAACUUAACCCAUUUAUGCCUAGUGGACUCUCCCAUCCCUCUAAAUUGGAUCAAUUUAUUUCCAAAAGUAGGGAUGUCUAGAAUAUUUAUUUCUAUAUUUAAAAUAUUUCUUACAGAAAUUCCUUUAAGCAAACAGCAUAGACCCAGAUGAGACGCCGCAUGAUGCGGCGUCUCAUCUGGUCUAUGCUGUUUGCCAAGGCAUUUUUUCUAGACGCUAGGCAUAAAUGGGUCAAGUACAGCUUGAUUUACACACUUGUAGUGUAAAAUUAUAUAUACAGGCUGUUAUAUCCCCAGUAGGUAUUUGUGUUAGACAUGCUAAACAAGGUCUUAGAGUCUUGAAACAUAGAAUUCUCAAUGUUUGCCUGUUUAUAACCAUAAAGAUGCAUUUAUUUCGUAUUGUUAAUUCUGUUGCUAACACUUCUUUACUUUUUGUCAUUAAAAUAUAAAGCUCUG